rnacentral:rRNA from 1 species
ACGAUGGCUAGCCGGCCUGAGAGGGUGAUCGGCCACAAGGGGACUGAGACACGGCCCUUACUCCUACGGGAGGCAGCAGUGGGGAAUAUUGGACAAUGGACUAAAAGUCUGAUCCAGCAAUUCUGUGUGCACGAUGAAGGUUUUCGGAUCGUAAAGUGCUUUCAGUAGGGAAGAAAAAAUGACGGUACCUACAGAAGAAGCGACGGCUAAAUACGUGCCAGCAGCCGCGGUAAUACGUAUGUCGCAAGCGUUAUCCGGAAUUAUUGGGCGUAAAGCGCGUCUAGGCGGCCUUCUAAGUCUGAUGUUAAAAUGCGGGGCUCAACUCCGUAUUGCGUUGGAAACUGGAUGGCUAGAGUAUCAGAGAGGUGGGCGGAACUACAAGUGUAGAGGUGAAAUUCGUAGAUAUUUGUAGGAAUGCCGAUUGGGAAGCCAGCUCACUGGAUGAAUACUGACGCUAAAGCGCGAAAGCGUGGGGAGCAAACGGGAUUAGAUACCCCGGUAGUCCACGCCGUAAACGAUGAUCACUAAGUGUGGGGGGUCGAACCUCCGUGCUCAAGCUAACGCGAUAAGUGAUCCGCCUGGGGAGUACGCACGCAAGUGUGAAACUCAAAGGAAUUGACGGGGACCCGCACAAGCGGUGGAGCAUGUGGUUUAAUUCGACGCAACGCGAGGAACCUUACCAGCCCUUGACAUCCCAAGAACUUAGCAGAGAUGCUUUGGUGCCUUUUCGGAGGAACUUGGUGACAGGUGGUGCAUGGCUGUUGUCAGCUCGUGUCGUGAGAUGUUGGGUUAAGUCCCGCAACGAGCGCAACCCCUUUCGUAUGUUACCAUCAUUAAGUUGGGGACUCAUGCGAUACUGCCGGUGACAAACCGGAGGAAGGUGGGGAUGACGUCAAGUCAUCAUGCCCCUUAUGGGCUGGGCUACACACGUGCUACAAUGGGCGAUACAGAGAGUUGCGAUACCGCGAGGUGGAGCUAAUCUCAGAAAGUCGUUCUUAGUUCGGAUCGCAGUCUGCAACUCGACUGCGUGAAGUUGGAAUCGCUAGUAAUCGCGAAUCAGCAAUGUCGCGGUGAAUACGUUCUCGGGUCUUGUACACACCGCCCGUCACACCACGAGAGUUGGUUGCACCUGAAGUAGCAGGCCUAACCCGUUUACGGGAAGGAUGUUCCUAAGGUGUGAUUGGCGAUUGGGGUGAAGUCGUAACAAGGUAUCCGUACGGGAACGUGCGGAUG